rnacentral:rRNA from 1 species
GACCUGAGCUCAUGCAAGAUUACCGCUGAACUUAAGC